rnacentral:rRNA from 1 species
GAUGAACGCUGGCGGCGUGCCUAAUACAUGCAAGUCGAGCGAACAGACGAGGAGCUUGCUCCUCUGACGUUAGCGGCGGACGGGUGAGUAACACGUGGAUAACCUACCUAUAAGACUGGGAUAACUUCGGGAAACCGGAGCUAAUACCGGAUAAUAUAUUGAACCGCAUGGUUCAAUAGUGAAAGACGGUUUUGCUGUCACUUAUAGAUGGAUCCGCGCCGCAUUAGCUAGUUGGUAAGGUAAUGGCUUACCAAGGCGACGAUGCGUAGCCGACCUGAGAGGGUGAUCGGCCACACUGGAACUGAGACACGGUCCAGACUCCUACGGGAGGCAGCAGUAGGGAAUCUUCCGCAAUGGGCGAAAGCCUGACGGAGCAACGCCGCGUGAGUGAUGAAGGUCUUCGGAUCGUAAAACUCUGUCAUUAGGGAAGAACAAAUGUGUAAGUAACUAUGCACGUCUUGACGGUACCUAAUCAGAAAGCCACGGCUAACUACGUG